GGCCCGGUUGCGGAUGGUCUGCACCUGCCCCGAAUAGUAGCUGAUACAAAUGCCAUUCUGCAGGAAUGCUCGUUCGAUUCGAGCCCGGGCCA